CUGCAAACAAGUUGUUACAAAUCUGUUCACAAGCUGUCAACAAGUUGUCUUCGCACUGUUUGUUCCCAGUUUGUUGCAACAAGUUUGAAUCAAGCUGUUAACAACUUGUAACAAGCUUGAUGGCAUUAUCAGCCUUGUUACAAGAUUGUGCUAACAAGUUUGUUACAGCCAUGAUAUAACAAGGAUGUUACAAGGUUGUCAACACAAGGUUGUAACGAUCUUGUUAUAUCAAGCAUGUAACGGACUUGUCAGAACAACCUUGCAACAAGUCUGAUAAUUUCGACAAGGUUGUUACAAGUUGUCAACAAGUUGUACCAAACCUGUUGACAACUUGGGACAAGCAGUGCGAGCACAUCUUGUGUUUGAUCUAAUCUCGCACAGUGCCAAUGAUAAGAAAAUUGGAGAUCGGUAGCAAUACAACUACACAAGUGAAAGCACACAAGGUCUGAAAACAAGUCGUUCCUACACACGUAAAAACGCACAAGUUGUUACAAGUCUGCAAACAAGUUGUUACAAAUUUGUUCACAGUGGCGCCGUGGGACCCAUGUUUUUUUUUUUUUGGGGGGGGGGCGCCAAGGUCAGUACUUUUCCGACAAACCGGAAAAUAGUUUCCGACAGGAACAUCGCGAAAAUUUU
rnacentral:lncRNA from 1 species